UGCCCCCAGUAACGGCGAGUGAAGCGGCAACAGCUCAAAUUUGAAAUCUGGCCCCAGGCCCGAGUUGUAAUUUGCAGAGGAUGCUUCGGGCGAGGCACCUACCGAGUCCCCUGGAAUGGGGCGCCACAGAGGGUGAGAGCCCCGUAUGGUAGGACGCCGAGCCCGUGUGAAGCUCCUUCGACGAGUCGAGUAGUUUGGGAAUGCUGCUCUAAAUGGGAGGUAAAUUUCUUCUAAAGCUAAAUACCGGCCAGAGACCGAUAGCGCACAAGUAGAGUGAUCGAAAGAUGAAAAGCACUUUGAAAAGAGGGUUAAAAAGUACGUGAAAUUGUUGAAAGGGAAGCGCUUGUGACCAGACUCGCGCCGUCCGGAUCAUCCGGCGUUUUCGCCGGUGCACUCCGGGCGGCUCGGGCCAGCAUCGGUUUUCCGCGGGGGACAAAGGCUUCGGGAACGUGGCUCGCCUCGGCGAGUGUUAUAGCCCGUCGCGUAAUACCCCGGGGGGGACCGACGACCGCGCUUCGGCAAGGAUGCUGGCGUAAUGGUCAUCAGCGACCCGUCUUGAAACACGGACCGAGGAGUCAAGCAUUAGUGCGAGUGUUUGGGUGUAAAACCCGCACGCGUAAUGAAAGUGAACGUAGGUGAGAGCUUCGGCGCAUCAUCGACCGAUCCUGAAGUCUUCUGAUGGAUUUGAGUAGGAGCAUUAACGCUUGGACCCGAAAGAUGGUGAACUAUACUUGAAUAGGGUGAAGCCA
rnacentral:rRNA from 1 species